AUACUCAAGCUUAAAAUAGAUGUGGAUAGACUUUCUAAAUUAAGUGUAGGGUUAAUUUUUUUAAAACAUAAAUAACUUCAUGGACGAUACAUGUACAGAAGCCUUGUAAAAAUCUUAAGACAUCAUCAUCAUUACCAAUUUUUCCAUUAUUAUUGUUUCAUCUUUUUUCUAUAGCUAGACUUGUAAAGUAUUACAUGUUUUGAAAACUUCAUGCUCAUAUUGAUAUUGUAUUGUUACAUUUGUAUAUUCGGAGCGGACUUCAUAAGUAUGGUUUAUUUAAUCUUUGAGUAAAUAAAACAUGUUUAAACAAAAAAAAGUUUCCAGAGCAAAAUUAAAAAAAAAAAAAAAUGCACUUGUUUGUAUUUAACUAGUGAUUGGACUUAGUUCUUUUUGCAUUUUUUUAGCCUUGUACAAACGUUUAGUUGACACUGAGUAUGUAAGGAUUGAUAGAAACAUUCAGAAGGAAUAUUUUUAAAAUGAUUGUGUUUGAAUUUCCAAGAAUGAGGCAAAAGUAGAGCAAAAAUUUAAACAGCUUACUGGAUAUAAUUGUUUUAUCCUAUGAAUACGCAAAAGAUACGAAUAGACUUAAACACUAAGACUGUCAUUUAAUAAGCAAGUAAGAUAAUACCUGUUUUUACUUUUUAUAUGAAAUAAAUGGGAUCUACAUAUUUAAGAAGAACUCAUUAAGACCUGUUUCACAAAAAAACCCUACAAAGUUGUUAAUUGUUCGAAUGUUUGUUAUUCUUGUUUUAGAUUUUAAAAGAAUUAAGGAACAAUGUAAACGGCAAGCUGGCUGCUGGUAACAUACAUUCGUUUAUUAAACGACUGAAGUUGAUCACAAUGUGCCUCACUAACAACAGGAUGGCAAUUUCUGGGUCCAAAACAUAUGGUAAUAGUAGUUCCUGAAGUAACGGUGUCAAUAAAGGGAUACAGUUAAAAUCUAACUACCAGAUUGAUUCAGUUGUCCCAUGGUCACUGAGGGCAGUCGUGGGAAAUAUUCUGCACCACUGCGAUCUUCACUGAACAAGGGGCCACAUUUCAAACUGGUCUCUUGGUAUUUUAUUGGGAGUUUAUAUAACAUAUUUUUUCUUAAGCCCAAAGUAGGUGAAAGGAAUAUUUCUAUUUAUUUAUUUCAAUGUUUUAUUUAUUUGACUAAUACAUUAAUCUUUGGCUUUAAGCUUUAAAAAUAUAAAAUUGACAUCGGGCUAUCAGGAAGUAAUAUCUAAUCUCCAUCUUCGCGAUGGACAUUCAGAUACAUUUAUUUUUUUGUUUUUCUUAUUUUUUUUAUUGGCUAUUGGCUACUAUUACUACAAAUUGAAGCAAUUGUACAGAUUUGUGUAUAAUUAGCUUCUAUUCAAUAAUGAUUGACAUCAUAAACAUAUCAAUAAGCAGUAGAGUUUUACUAAAGCAUAUCUUCACAACACAAUAAAGACCACGAACGACUCACAACAUCAGAACACUCAACACUUAAGAGAAAAAAUAUGACAAUAAUUUAUAAGUACUGCCAUAUUUCACACCAGGAAAGCCCCUCCCAAUACCCUAAAGAAGAAGAAGAAGAAUAAGCAUUUGCAGAUCUCAUUUACAUUAAGAUUAGUUGGCCCUACCCCCUCAGUCAUGAUCUGAUGACUUUGAAACUUUUGAUUGGUUAUAUGUUAAAGUUUGUGAUUAGGUAAGUUAACUCUUUCACGUUCAGAUAUUUUAGAUCUAAACUUAUGAAAAAUACACUAUCCAAGUUCAAUUGAAUAGAGCAUUAUCACCAGAGCUAAAAAAAAUGAAUAUAUUGGACUCAUAUUUAAGAGAAUUGAUUGCAUAUUUCAGAAAAUUAAAGUUGAAGCAAAUAUGUAUUUUUUUGUCACGCGGUGUCUUUCCAAAAGUCACGUGACUUGCAGGAAAACUGUGAAACAAGUUACUUUCUUUAAAAAAAGAAAAGCAAUACGUGAACCCGAGACAUUUGACUGGUCACCAAAAAAAAUGUUGCUGAUUAUUUUUUGGCUUUAGAUUUGAAAUAGUUGACUGAAUAGAAUAAGGUACUGAUGAUGUUAGAACACCUUUAUUGAAAAUAUGUAAUUGUGUGUAGAUUCUUACACAAGUCAAUUAAAAGCACUGUUGGAUUUUAGUUGUAAACAGAAAAGUGUAUACAGCUAAUAUAUGAAUUUACCAUUUAAGGCUUGACUAUUUUAUUUAUUACUUGGGAGCUUACAUCAGUUUUUCUUCGUGUUUAAUAUACAUACAAAGUCCUAAUCCUAUUGCAGUUCUUAGUUUCUGCGAACCAAAUGUCUAAAGCAAAUUGCACAGACCAAUCGCAAUAUAAAUUCAAGCACUCAGUUUGCUAAAAUAAUCUGGAUGCAUUUAUUUCAUCUGUCUUAUCUUCAUGUUUUGUUUCCUUGAUGACUUCAAUUAUUCUUAUACUUAUUAUUGAAGCUGUCGUCUGUACUAAUGGUAAAUGUUGUAAAUAGAGAAAUUGAAAGUCCAAUUUCCAUGUGAAGUGUAACUCUGUGGCAUGCAACUUAUAAGACGGUUUCGUAUUUUGUUUUUGAGAGUAACACACCAGCUGCAUUGGUACCUCUUAUAUACUGAAAAUUAUUUUGGUCUUUUAAAACAUCUCAAAUUCUAAGGAUUUCCUGAAGUUACUUCAACCAAUCCAAAUAUUCUAUAGGAAAAACUUAGUUCUGAAGAAAUUUUAUGAAUACCUGAAUAUGCUCUCAAAAGAACAAAUUAAUAUAAAAAAAGAUAUGUACCAUAUGUAGAUAUAUAAAAAUGUAUAUAUAGAUAUCAUGAUUAAAAUGUUUUACGCCAGACGCGCAUUUCGUCUACAAAAGACUCAUCACUGAUGCUCGAAUAAUAAAUGUUAAAAAGACCAAAUAAAGUACGAAGUUGAAGAGCAUCGAAGACCCAAAAUUUCGAAAUAAAUGUUUUGCCAAAUACAUCUAAGAUAAUAUAUUUAUUCCUUGGGAAGAAAAUCCUUAGUAUUUCGAAAAUUUCAAAGUUUAUAAUAGGACAGUCACUCAAAAAAAAAAGAAAAAAAAAAAGAAAAGAAAAGAGAAACAGCUAGAGGUCAGAAUACCUUAACUUUAAGUCUUAUGAUGACCAUGAUUCAACGUCACAUGUCCAGCUCUUACUGCCGUGUCCUGAAUUUAGAUAAGAAAGGCAAAAAUUUACAGUCCGCGAGUGAAAUUAAUAUUUAUGCAUGCACGUGGUUUUCUUGCGCAGCGCAAGAAGUAGUAAAUGGAAAGCACUGAUACUCUGGAUUAUAAUACGCAUUUGCGUCAUCACGUACAUUUAUUCUAGGCUAAAAUCUAAUGCUAGUUGAAUUCGGAUAUCAAACUACCUACCUGAAGUGUUUUGACUCCGGAUCUGGCCAUUUAAUCCGAAAUUUGUGUAAACACAAACCGAUGUGUCGUGUCAACAGGGUGCAUUAUAAUGAAAAUAAACCAAGACGGGUGUAUGAUAGCUGGUCAACACAAUGAAUACACAAUUUUCAAAAUAGCACCAUAUUGAAAAGAUUAAGAUGCUAUAAGGUUAAACUAUUAAACAGAAAACAAAAGUAAUUGAAAUUUAAUCAACAUACAAUCCUGUUAAUGAAUCAUUUCCGAAAAUUUAGAAAUAUAAUAUCAAUAAAAACAAACAUCAUGUAUUUACUGAUGGACAUUUUAUUUAUUAAAUCAAUCACUUCUUCAAGUCUUUAUUCCCAUUAUAUGAACAUAUUGCUGUAAAAAAUAUAAGCAGAGACUUAAUUAUAAAUCCAUACUAAAACUAAAUCACAUGUGUAUAUAUAUCUCUGAAUUAACGUAGUUAUCAAAAGAUUAUUGUAAAAUAUCAAAUACGUUUUUUGUGAGAUGCAAGGAUUUAAAACCGUUGUGAAGUUGUUUUUUUUUCCAUUGAAUACAGUUUUAAUUUUACUAACUUACGUGUACGCAUCCCUGAUAAUUGGUGCUCAUAUUUUGCAUAUAAUUUUCAUAAAUGUAUUAAUUGUUCAGACAUGUCGGACAUAAUAUAACAUUAUACAUUAUAUUCUAUUAAUGACAAAUUUAGUCUCUGUUUAAACUCAAUAAUGUUAAUGAAUAUUUUUUUGGCCUCUUAGUGUAUCUUAAUCAAAUUAAAUAUUUUGACAGGAUUAUUGUUUUGUUUAAUUAUAAUUAUGCUUUCCGACCUAAGAUAAAUAUUUAUAAUAGAAAUAUCGUUUUGUUAAUUUUCGUCAGGCUUGCUUUCCGACAUUUCCCCAGGCUCUGAAGUACAUAAUGUCACGUGGUAAAGGCUUAGCAAUACUCAGUUUAUUCUGAGACAUAAUAUAUUAGUAUAUAUACUAUUCCCAGGUUUAUUGUCACAAUGCACAAUACACAAUAGCACGUUGUAUUAAAUACUACACACACAGCGCACAGGGACCGUCUCAAAGCAUGAAUUACAUAAUUGCGUUAUCAUUAUACUUGAUAUUUAAUAAACAUUCUAAUUAUUUCGCAUUAUUAAAAACGCAUAUGUUCUGUAUAAAGGCAAAUAGGUGCCAAUAUUUAAAUGAUUUUUUACUGCAAUCUAGUCUUUAUUUUUUUUCUAUAUUCCGAUCUACAGUCACGUGGUAGCCUAUCAAUAGAGGGACCGUAUCAAAGACAUAAACAGCUACCUGUUAUAAAAGAUCGAAACUGUCCCAGACGUUCCGAGAAUCUUGUUUCCGGGGAUAUCGAAUGGCCCAUAGAAGCUUCCAAAGCUCACCAAUAUAUAGGCGUGAACCCCAGGUUCAUGCAAAGAAUGAAAUUAAUGCAGGUAAUAGGGUAUAGUUUUGGAUCUUAUACUAACAAAAAAAGCUACCCCCACGGCAUGCUUGUACAAACACUAGUCUUGGUUUUUCAUUAAGUCCAGGGCAUUGUUAUAAUUCAAACAUUUCUGUUUUUUCUUUAAUUCCAACUCUUGACCAUCUGUGCCAAAUUUCCCAGUUGUUUCUCCAUGACUCAUUAUCACAAGUAUUACACAACCCAUAGUAUUCCAAUCCACUUUAUCUCUCUCUACUCUGCAUUCAGAAAUAUUAACAUUUCCUGGAAUGUUAAUUAUCAUUGUUUGAGUAAAAAUCUAUUGAUAUAUAAUAAUAACUUGGAACGUAGCAAUAGAUCAAAAGAGAGCGAUGGUUCAAAUAGGUACGUACACACAUUGUCUUAAAGUCAUAAAAAUAAAUCUUUCUUAAUGUGACUUAUGCAUAUAUUGAGUUAUAUUUUUGAAAUUGAAAGUAAAGUAAAGUUAAGUUACAUUUAAUGUAGGAAAUAAUGAUUUCACCUCCGGCCAUGGGAUGCUUCCUGCUGUGGGUCAGCUUUCCACUGCACCACUGGGAUCCUUAACGAAUUUAUGGAAAAUUUUUGAACUAAUGAAGUGAGAGAAAAUAGAAAAAGAAGAAAAUCAUCCAGCUAGUUUUCUUUUAGAAAAUUUAGGAUUUCGUCUACAAUUUGAAUUAUUUCAUAUCCAAGAACACACUAGUUUCACUGGAAGACUGAUUGUUUUAAGGCAUACAGAAACCAUCAAUGACACAAACUCAAAAAUACUUUGACUAUAGCUGACACAGGGUAUAGAAAAACAGCAACAAUGGCGGAAAUUAUUUCAAAUAGACGAGACUUCAGAGGAUAUGACAUAUUUUACCAUUAUGCAGAGCUGAUAUAGUUACAGUUGGAGAAGCAAAUCCCUUUGUAUUGAGCAUAUCAGUAUGUGUACAUUUGACCCAAUAUACUGUUCUCAUUUGUUACAAAUUUAAUCAGUUGAUAAGAAUUAUGAAAGUAUUUUCUCUCUGUAUGUUAUGUUUGUGUAAGUUAUUGAAUAAAAUACAAGAUGUGUAUUGAUAUCAAA